rnacentral:rRNA from 1 species
UACGUAGGGUGCAAGCGUUGUCCGGAAUUAUUGGGCGUAAAGGGCUCGUAGGCGGUCUGUCACGUCGGGAGUGAAAACUCGGGGCUUAACCCCGAGCCUGCUUCCGAUACGGGCAGACUAGAGGUAUGCAGGGGAGAAUGGAAUUCCUGGUGUAGCGGUGAAAUGCGCAGAUAUCAGGAGGAACACCGGUGGCGAAGGCGGCUACCUGGACAAUUGCUGACGCUCAGGCACGAAAGCGUGGGGAGCGAACAGG